rnacentral:tRNA from 1 species
GGCGCAGAAGGUAAAGCAUCUGCCUGCAAUGCAGGAGAGCCAGGUUCAAUUCCUGGGUCA